AAGACUAUAGACCUGCGGAGUACCUGCGGAGGGAUCAUUAUCAAUUUACAGCGGACUUCGGUCCUGUCUGCACCCUUGUCUUUUGCGUACUAUAUGUUUCCUCGGUGGGCUUGCCUGCCGAUAGGACACUUAUAAACUCUUUUGUAAUUGCAAUCAGCGUCAGAAAACUAUAAUAGUUACAACUUUUAGCAAUGGAUCUCU
rnacentral:misc_RNA from 1 species